GUUGCUGUAGUAAAAUAUUUUUAUGGUAAUUACUGGCAAUACAGCUCUAGAAACGGAGCACACAUGUACAAUUAUGAAGGGUCACGUCAUUCCAAGGAAGUCAAUAGGCCUUGGGUUAUAUUCUCUUGGGAAAAUACUUCGAAAAAUACAGCUUUGAACUGUCAAACAAAGUGAAUUAAUGAUGGAUUCAUAUUUAUUAGCGGUUUACAUUAAUUUCACUUAUAACCUUUUGUAAAACAGUGAAAAUAACUGUAAAUAAGAUAAACAAAGUUUACGUACAAAAUCAUGUCGUUGAAGAAAUCGUCAUCAGAGGCAAUGGAUUUAGAAAGUGAUUUUUGCGUGUUGCCGGGAACCUCUACAGACGGCUUGCAGCCAGAAGAUUAUGUAUGGGUAGAACAGCAAGACCCAAUUUGCCUUGACACUGGCAUAUCAUCAGAUACACAAAGAAGCUCUGAAGUAGCUGUAUCUACUGACUAUAUAGAGGGAUCGCAGAUAAAACACGAUACACUAAUGACAAAUUUAAUAGAAGAUGCAUAUGUAUAUGACUAUCAUGUGGAUCAAUAUGAUUCAACAAUCGCAAAACUGAGUCAUGAUAAGAAAAAAUCCAAUAAGAAAAAACCUAGUUAUAAAAACAUUACUGUCCGAAAUGCUUCUGGCAGUCCACAAGAGGAAGAAGCAUUUAAUAUUCACAUGUUUGAUGAACCUACAGCUGAAAUACUGAAAAGCAUUGUUUCAUCAAAUAAUUAUUAUAGAGGGAACUUCGGAAAUAUAAUAAAUAAAGGGCGAAAAUCAGUUGUUAUAUAUGCCUAUAUAUCAAAAAAGGAUUAUCCAACAUGGGACCCCAAAAAUGUAUGCUACAAUCAAUAAUGAGUAUAAUAAGCGCUACCGAAAUUGGCGGUCUGAACAAAAUGUGGUAAAAGUAUGUAAACUAAGUGAAGAUACGUCAAAUAAUGAGAGAAUAUUUCAGCAAGUUCAGAGAGAAAGAGAAAACUUACUUAUACUAAAUAAAGCGAAAUGCAAAGUACCGGAAAUGAAGCAUUGUAGUCGGAAUGUUAUUGUUAUGAGCCUGGUUGGAACCGAUGGGGUCACUGCCCCAUCAAUCGAAACUCUUGCUACCCAACCUUUGAAGCGGUCUCAACAGAUGUACGACACUAUUGUGAAAGAUAUAGAAAUGUGGUACAAAACAUUACAUUUAAUUCAUGGAAACCUGGUGUCUAAAAACAUAUUGUUUUGGAAAAACGAAGUCCAUUAUAUAGGAUGGUCACACUCUGUUAAGGCAGAACAUCCUGUAGCUUUGAAGAAGUUGAUGAAAGACUGUUGUUUUAUUACUAGGUUUUUUGAAACCACAGGUGUGCCCGUAAGACACACAAAGAAGUUAUUUAAAGUCAUUACAGGGCUUAAAGAAAUAGAUCACUCUGCAUUAAGUAUAAAUCACUCCGAGGACUUGUGGAAAAGCCAGGAUUUGACAAAUCCCAACAGGAUGCCAACCAGCCAUACUGAUAAUCAUGGAAGAAACUGUCGCUUUAAAAGAUGAUGUCUAGUAGAUUCAGUAGUUAAGAAGUGUCAAAAAUAAGAAAAGUGGAGAGCUGAUCAAUCUCGUACCUUAUUUAGGUCACUCAGCAAGCUUCUGGCCUAAACUCGACUGAAAAUAGUUUUAAAUAUUUCAGUAAAGUUGAACACUAUUGUGCAAAGAGAAAUUUCCAUUCAACUUGAAAUGCAAUGCAGUCAAAGAAAGAUUUAGAUAUCUAAGUACCUUUAAAAUAAUACUCCUUUUUCCUGUCAAAUUAGAAAGAAGAGAGAAACAGUCAGCUAUGAGCUAAAGCUGCUGGUUUGUAACAGUUGAGUAGUUUCGAUAUUAGUAAUUAUAAUGAUAAGAUAAAUAUGAACACCAUUGUUCCGAGAUGGAUGGGAAAGACAAAUAGUAUAUUGAUAAUGAUAAUAUUAUUGGUUCAUAGAAAUAAAAAAACUACUGAAUGGUU